GCCAAAUGAUGUCACCUAGAUGGCACGAGCCCUCUGUGCAAAGAUGACCUUCACCUAUCACCCAGUGCUGAUGGCU